CCGCGAGAAUUUGACAGGGUUACUAAAAUGCGGUCUCUACCUUGUGUUGGACAAACUUGAACUCCAGUUCUACCGGAGAUUAGUGAAGAAAAUCCAUAUCAUCCAGAGGGAGAGGGAACCAUCUAAGGCGCAUCAAAUCAAGAUAGAGGUCUCUGCAACCAUUUUAGUCGAGUAGCAGUUUUGCGAAAGGUGACCGUGGCAAACAUUUUAUCCUGUUACAAGCACAUUAUUUGGAUGAAAUGGCAUUUAUUGUUGGUGGCUUAUUUGUAUGCCUAACAAGUUGGGUGCUUGUCUUCAGGGUAUGUCAUAACCUAAACCUUUAGGUUACUAUAAACAAGUUUGGAACGACAAGAAUAUCAAAUUAUAACUUUUUACUGUUUUGUUACUAUAACUGGAAUGGAAUGAGCUGUGUACGUUAGCCUGAUUCAAAUCCUUUUCAUCUCCAAUGAACGAUCUGUGUACAACAUCAGCCUUCAUUCAAACUCCAUGUACUGAUUAAUUUCACAGCGUGUGCUGCUACAACCAACGCCCAAUAGCAAGGCAAACA